UACGUAGGGUGCAAGCGUUGUCCGGAAUUAUUGGGCGUAAAGGGCUCGUAGGCGGUCCGUCACGUCGGGAGUGAAAACUUGGGGCUUAACCCCAAGCCUGCUUCCGAUACGGGCGGACUAGAGGUAGGCAGGGGAGAACGGAAUUCCUGGUGUAGCGGUGAAAUGCGCAGAUAUCAGGAAGAACACCCGUGGCGAAGGCGGUUCUCUGGGACGGUACUGACGCUGAGACGCGAAAGCGUGGGGAGCAAACAGG
rnacentral:rRNA from 1 species